ACUAUGAACUGCACAAAGAUGGCGCUCCCCAUAAGUGAGGCUGGGCAGAGCCCCGCUGUGCACCCCCAUCUCCACCUCCGCAUGUCAUUUCUGAAGCCUCGCCACUCAGUAGUAGGAGGAAUAGGCCAGUACCAGCAAGAGAGCCCCUUUCUGCUGCUGCAUCCCUCCAGUGUCCUCUAUUGACAGUUGAACCUGGUGGCAGUUGCAGAUGAGAAAUGCUUACAGCUCAUUUUUUUGCUGAGCAAGAAAUGAGAGAUGAGUUUAGAGCUGAGAGGCAUUCAACUGCUACCAGAUGGGAUGCAGGGAACCCAUGACUCCCAGGAAAUUGGCCAAGUCCCUGAGAGGACAGUUGGUGGCAUUCUCGGAGACAGGACCCUUGAGGAAAAACUCUAGAGCAAAGCAGAGGAACGGUGUCAGCAUUUUGAAAAUGCUGAGCUGAAUGACACUGAGAAAUGCCCAGUGCAAUGAUAAACGGGCAGAUAGUUUCUCAGGGGCCUGGGGCCUGGAUGGGGGCUGGGCUGGAGUGAGAGAGAGGCAGGUCUCCAGCUGUGCUAUGCACACCUCAGGUUGAAGAUGCUACAUAGGUAAAAGCGCUGAUGGUUCAGCAUGAUUAACAAGGUAUUGGGGACUACAUUUAGACUGAGGCUGGUAUUUUGCAUUGCAAUGGACAAAAAUAUCGCUGUCACAGCUGACUUGGGGCUCAUUCAUUGCACAUGCAGUGAAGGCAGCUGUGUGGCGGUGGGGCCACAGGGCAGGUAGCAUGGAUGGAGAGAGGAUUCUGAAUAACUUUGACUCCGCAGGUUUUUCAUAAGGAAGGGCUGAACAAAAGCAGCCAAGGGGGCCAGAGAAAGAGAAAGUAGAGAGUGUGAGAUUAGAGGAGAUGGGCAAGUUCUAGUGAAGAUGCAAUGGCCCAUAGUGUCACAGAAGACAAAGACUGCAAAGAGGCCCUUAGCGUCAGUGACCCAGAGGCCUGUGCUGAGGCCUGCGCUGACUUGUGGCUGGUAAAGUUUCAGUGGAGGUGGAGGCAGAGAUUACUGUGGGCCAAGGAAUGGGGGCAGGAGAGGAAACAGCUGGUGACAAUCUGUGGUCACAUUUGCCUGUGAAUGAGAGGAGAAAGGAUGAGAGUAACUGUGGAGAGGUGUGAGGCUGAGGCAGGGUUUUACUUUUACUGGGAGAAGGAGCAUAUUGAUGGUGAUGAGAUUGCGAAGGGUGGCAGAUGGAGGUUACAUACUGUCAUGAGUGUGAGCGAGGGAGAGAAGACUGCAAGGGGCUUGCCCAGAGCCGGCAGUCAGGGAUGGCUUAGCACGUUUGCUCACCAGCUGGGAGGCCUAUAAAUGUCAUUUGGAUGCCUUCCAGGGAUUAGCCAGGGGACACAGAUGGAUUUAGUAAGGAUGAUAACAGAUAGUUCUCUUUUUAAGCAAGGUCACAUGGUAGUGCAUGGUGUGUGUGUGGUGUGCAUGUGUGUGUGUGCUGUGCACGUGUGUGUGUGUGUUAAUAGCUACCAGAGCCCAGGUUUCAAACUGAAAUCACUUGCAAAAGGCAUCAGUCACCAGCUUCUACUUGCACAUGAAAUGCAUAGUCCCCACUCCCAGCUUUUCAGAGUGCCACACAUCUGGAAGCAGCCUCCUGAUGCUCCCAGCUCCUUUUGGGUUGUGGAUUUGUUUAUUUUGCAUUUAUAGUUUUGCCAAGUUUUUGGCAAAUUUUUUGUUGAUUUACAUUUAACUUUAUCAGUCUGUUCAGGGUUUCCUUCCCUAGCUUGUUCUCAGAUGUGGCCAAGCAUCACUCUUCACCAGGAGAAGACACUAAAGUAAAAGAACCAUCAACACAAGUGACAUGUCAUAGCAGGAGCUGACACAGCCUCACCAGCCCAUGCUCGGCCAGACUAGGGAGCAUCGGCCGCUUGUUCCAUCCUGUGCUUGUCUGCCUGCCUCUCUGUCAUGAGACGCAUUCGAAGAGUCCUGGGCCCAAAAGCAACUCACAGUCCAGGAAGACGUCCAGGCCUUGGGUGACGCUCAGUCUCAUAAAGACGGAGAAUGGUGGCCUCCUCCACAGGAAUGGUGCUCAUCAUUAGCCAUGACAAGCUUCAAUGUUCAAAAUGCCUUUGCAAAAGAAAUACUGGACAAAUU
ensembl:lncRNA LINC00841 long intergenic non-protein coding RNA 841